ensembl:lncRNA novel transcript
AUAUACCAUUGCAGCAGCUGAACAUUUGAGGUCACCUUUGAUAUCUGUAGUUGUGAGGAUUUAGAAAACAGAAGUACCUUGACUUUGUGUAGCAGGUUUAUUUUCAUUCCUUCAUUGUUUUUUAGAUGUCCCAGGUCCUUUCAACUCAGGUAUGCCAUGGUUCUUUCUGCCUCUUUCUUUGUCUCUCUUGAAAUUCUUUGAGCACUAAAUAAUUCAGGUAUUACAAUAAUUGUAGUUAUUUUUGAGUCCGUUUAUACACAGAAUUCUUCCACAUGGCAGAAGAUAUGAUGUCAGAGUACCUGCUAAGCAUCGCCACACCCACAAUGGUUCUAUCAAAGAGGAGAAAAAUGAAAACAGAUCAAGAAGACACACUGGCAUUAGCGAUGGCUGAGGAAGAAAGGAACAUUAAAUAGCCUUGUUUAAAUAUACAUUUCUGGGAUUACUAGUGAGCAUGUACAAGCAGCAGAAAAAUGAGCCAAAGCAUCCUUUGAAGCAAAACAUUACAUAGAAUGCAAUUCGUUCUCACUGUGUCUCUCUUCUCCUGGAAACUAUUACUGAAGAUAAAUCAGGUGAGGCUGCAGUGCAUCUUGCUCCUCCAUGGGCAGGUCCUAUUAGUAGCAUCUUUAUUUUCUUACCUGAAGCACUCUUGCCCUUCCAAGCGACACGAGUCAGAUAAAGUGAGUGUGUGCUGAGUUAGCUCCCUGUGAUAAAAAAAAAAAAAAAACAAA